GACUCUAAAUCAGGGGUGCCCAAAAUGUAGAUCCCUGGAUGUUUUAAAACUACAGUUUGCACGAUGCUUUGUCAUUCUAAAGGCAUGCAAAGCAUCAUGGGAGUUAUAGUUCUAGAAUAUCCGGGGAUCUACCUUUUGGACACCCCUACUCUAAAUC